rnacentral:lncRNA from 10 species
CGUGCCCAGCCCACCAUUUUCUAUUUGUCUUGUUUCUGUGAGAAAAGAUAUUCUGAAUUCCAUGACAGUUUUCCAUUCAGUGAAAUCUGUGGCUUUUGCCUAUGCAGUAUCUGUUCCUCCUUUUUAGUAACUAAUUUUCCUAUGGAGUAUUACCCUAACUUCUCUCUGGUGGGACUGACACCAACACCUACUUCCAAGGAUAGACGUAUGAUCCAAGUCUGACCGAUCAGCAUGUACCAGUCUCUGAACCACAUUGGUUAGAGAUGUGAUCUAAGCCUUUACAGUGGUCAAAUGGACAGAACUUGAAAAUAUGAUGUUGCUUCUUUAAUAAAUGACAUUCAUCUACCUCUCCGCGGAUUUGAUCUGGACUACUGACAACAGCCGAUUCAACAACUGCUGGAUGCUCAAUGAGUGCACUCUCCACUUCAAAUGGCCCAAUACGGUACCUGAAGAGGAAAAGAAGUUUUUGACCACCACAUCCUCCAAGUUAGAGAUCUCCCUCCCUGUCGAAUUGUUACCUCUUCAGAGUGGCAAAUAUACAAACCCAGAGGAUAUAAUGACAUCAUCAGCUCUGCCGACAAACCAGAAAUACCCAUCACUGUCCAUCACUCCUCUGUCUCCAGUGACAUAAAAAUCUCCUCUUAUCGUGGCAGCAGUUUUCUGUGGAUUGUCCUGGGAACCAAGGAUGACAUUUGGGGAUUAGUCUGGUCAGAACAGAGAUGGGUAUGGCACUCAUUAAGUGACUAGUACAUUACACAUCCUACUUAUAUAGGAAAUUUUUUUUUUUUUGAGACAGAGUCUCUCUCUGUUGCCUAGACUGGAGCCUGCAGCCUCGACCUCCUGGGCUCUAGUGAUCCUCUCACCUCAGCCUCCUGAGUAGCUGGGACCACAGACAUGUGCCACAACACCUGACUAACCGUAUUAUGUUUUUGUAGAGAUGGGUUCUCACUAUGUUGCCCAGGCUGGUCUUGAACUCUUGGGCUCAAGCCACCCUCCCACCUCGGCCUCCUAAAGUGCUGAAAUUAUAGCCGUGAGCCACUGUGCCUGGCUGGAAAUUAAAUUUUUUUAAAAGAUAGUUUGUAAUAUAAAAUACAAAAGGUCAUAAAGAGUAUAAUAAAAAGCCCCUCUUCUACCUCUAGCACCCCCCAACUGCACCCUCAUUCCAGCCUGUCCGGUUUUCCUUUCUGAGGAUAACCACUGCAACUGGUUUCUUACAUUUGGAAUUUCAUCUUUACAGUACUCUUGGGUGACAGAUGAUAGUCUCCCCAUUUUACAGUUGUGAAAGAUUUUGUUGCUUGCCCAAGAUUACAUAGCAAGACACGGUGGAAAUGAAAUUUGAACCCAAGUCUGUAUUAAGCAUGACCAGCACUUUCUAUCCUCAUACCACAUAUUUAGAGAAGAAACAGAAGGGCCGUGUAGGUUUGAGUCUGAGGGCAAUUUCCCCUUCUUUGCCAGGUGGUAGAACAUUGCCAUUUUCAUCUAUAAUCUGGAAUGAAAGAAAUAAUUGAUGGUCUUAAAAUUUUCUUUUCACAAAAAUGAAAGCAGCUUAUGAAUAGUUGUGCAAUGAAUAGCAGAAAAGGAAAACGUUCUCUCUCCUUUACUGAACCAGUCAGAUAUUUUCUCAACCUACCUGGACAUCAUAGGGCAGCAUUCCUUUCCCCAUUGAACCUGGUUUAAUUUCUUGGCCUUUCUGAUUGGCACAAAUCAUUCCCUAUUGAGAGGACAAGCUUUGUAUAAGUAUACAAAAGUUUAUAUUCUGAAACUAUAUCAUGGCAAUGAAAAUUAAGAUUUGAUUUUGACUGAUUUUCCUGGUAUGCAGGCGCACCUUCUGAAAUAUAUUAUUUGAAACCAGUAGUUCUCAAACUUCGGUGUGCAGUAGAAUCAAAUUUGAAAUUCUGGAACAUUGUUGAAACACAGAUUGAUGGGCCUUAUCCCAGAGUUUCUGAUUCAUUAGGUGUGGAAUGGGGUCUAAGAAUUUGGUAUUUCUACCAAAUCUACCUAGAUGAUGUUGAUGUUGCUUGGUUUGAGGGCCACACUUUGAAAACCACUCCUUGGACUCCGUUAAAUGCACCUUGGACUCAAUUUCCCAUGGACGCUCUCAGAGGAUUAUUCCCAGCACAGUGGAAAGAUGAGCUGCUCAGUUCUGAACCUCACCCACCCGCUAACGCCUCUGAGAUUUAUCCUGCAUAAGGGGGAGGCAGGAAUGAUGGAAUAAUCAUCAUUCUCCUUCAUCAAAACCUAACUGAGCAAUCUGCAAGUUUUGGUAACUACUGGCAAGGUGAGGUAUCCCGGGAAACUCUAUAAAAAUUUACAGUGGGAUGGGGGCACUUCAGGGGCUCAGUUGAAAAACCUGGGGCAGAAAGGCCCCCACAUAUACUAAACAUAAAUGCCCUUUAGAUAUACCACUUCCGUCUGUCCAUAGCCCUCAUAUAGCUCCAGCCCAGUUUGCACCCUCCACUGCUCCAGCACUUCUGGGUUGAGUGGCUCCCCUCCGGUCAAGCAGUGCCGCAGACUCUUGAAUUUAUAUCUGGAGAGACAGAGUUGCAUGGGUCUUUUCAAGAGGAACCUGAGUGCUUUCACUGCAAGACAAUUAGGACAUUCAAGCAGUAAGCAUAGCAGCUAGGAGAGGCAAGUCUUAGCAAAGUUCAUUCAACAAAUACUUGUUGAACACCUGCUAUAUUGCCAGACAUUGUUCUAGGCAUAUGGGGGCACAUUAGUGAUUAUAACGAAAAUUCCUGACAGCUUUCAUUUUAGCAGGUGGAGGAGAACUUAGCUAUUAAAGAUGUAAAAAGGCAGGAGAAGAUGCUAUUAAUGAUACUAAGUGCUUUUGAUGAGCCACAUGAUAUAACAGCUAAUAUUGAUUGAUCAGUCGCUAUGUUGUAAGGGCUUUAGAAGCAUUCUUAGAAUCUUCUCAACCCCUAUUUACACAUGAGGACAUUGAGGUUCAGAGAGGUUAAAGAACUUGCCGAAAGCCUUCCAUGUAAUAAAGGACUGAGUUGAUACUCAUGAAACUCUGUACCAGGCACCUCCCACUUGUCAGGGUGAUCUCACCAAGCAUGUCACUUACAUUAAAUUCUCACCACAACCUUAUGAGGGGGCUCUUAAUCCUCUCUUCUAGAUGGAGUUGAUGCUUAGCAAGGUUAUCUUGAGUGUCCAAGGCCACGUGAUUAGUAAGUAGCAGGGCCCUGCCUGUUUGACUUUGGAGCUUAGCUUUUAACCACUAGCCUUACUGGACACAGGUGAGAAAGCCUGGAACAGCCUGCUUCUCAUACACUGAGGCCCCAAAUGGGCCAGAGGGUGUGGGUAGAAUACAAAUCAUGUGUAUUCAAAAUAAUCAUUGAAUAGUCCCUGAAUUACUCUUGAAAUGUGAACAAGAUGCUGAUGUUUCAAAGGCCGUGACAUAGGAGCAAAGGAGUUGACACUGACUAGGAAAAGAGAAGAUCCAUGUUUGCUUUAUUCUGUCUCGCAUAGCACUUUCCCUCUUGGGCAACCACACUUUGGUGGCAAAAGAGGAUGGACAAGCCUAUGCUACUUAAUUUGCUCCUCUAUUCCUUUCUCUCCUCAUGUAUUGAGUUUGAAUUAAACAAAUAUACAUUGCAACUCUACUGGAUGUUCAUAUGGUUUGGCUAAAUUGAAUAUGACCUUCAAGUCAUAAAUUUUGUUAGCUUUUCUUCAAAGCAGUAUAAAUGUGCUUUUCUUUCUUUCUUUUUUGAGUUCUAAAUGACAGUGUUUUUAAAAGAAUAGAACUAGAGGACAAUUUUUUUUUGAGUGGGAGUUCUGGGACUACAGAGGUCUGGUUGUCCCUGGAAAAAUGUCCAGUUGUCCUAGAGGAUAUUCCAGUGGUUCUUAGACUAGGGAACAGUUUUGCCCCCCAGAAGACAUUCGGCAGUGUCUAGGGACAUUUUUGAUUUUCACAAAUGGGGAGGAGGAGGUGCUACUGGCGUCUAAUAGAGUCUUGAGAUGCUGCUCAACAUUCUGUAAUGCAUACGACCGUCCUCCGACGAUAGAAUUAUUCGGUUCAAAAUGUCAGUGGUGGUAAGACUGAGAAAGCCUGAGCUAUCCUAUGCUGAAAAAGAGAGAUCUGUGAUCCUGGAUGGUAGCUAUUGUUUGUGGUUCAAAUGGAGAUUUCUGCCCAAGUACCUCUUAAGGUCUUUUUGCACGAGCAUCCGGUACACAGUGGGAGGACUGCACAGGGUCGUGAUGGGAUAAGUAGUAAGUGUCUGGAUGAUGGAGAAAGACACAGAUGUCAGAAGUGGUCAUUCAAAGGCCAUGACUAGAGCUGAUAUCUACACCCUGUUAUUUUCUUCCAUUAAUAUGUGCCCAUCCCGUGGUCACUACUAGGAAUAAGAAAACAAUAUUUAUUACUUGUCACUAGUGACUGUAUAUCUGUUGGGAAUUUCCAAUUACUGAAAAGAAUGUAUAUAUAUUAAUAUUACAGUAACAGACAUACACAAUCUAAUUCAACAAGUGAAUUGCUUAAUUUGAGAACAACCCAAAGUAUGAACUGGUUUAUUCUUCCUCAGGGCUACAACUUACCUCUUAUAGUGUAAUCUUGUAACCUCCUGCCAAUAUAUUCAUGGAUAGUAUUGACUAUGGAUGUAUAAGCUAACCUACUGGGACCUUUCCAGCUCCAUUCCUAUAAAAUACAUUAGUCUUUUUCAGUAAGUUGAAUAAAUGUAGAAAUAAGCAUUUUUUUUGGCCUUUUCUUAAUUUUUAAAAAUUUGCUGAGUUCAUUAUGUCUCUGGUUUCUUAAAUAAGAUAUGGCCUAGGCAUCUUAAAUCUAGAGAAAUACUAAUGUUUUAGAGCUCCUCCUUCUGGAGAAGUUCCACUAUGUCCCUUAAUGUAUUGACAAUUUGUAUUAAACUUAAGUAUUUGGGAGAAGGCUCUCAAAAUGUAUGUCUGGGCUGCCUGGAUUGUCACAGAUAAAGUAUGAUGUUUGAUCGGUAAGUAAGCAUUUCUACCAUGUGUAUCUGCUCCGCAGAGUCUAAUUAUUUUUAGAAAGUGUAAUGUAUACACCUAAAAAUAGCAUAAAUCUAUAAAGGUUUUUAUAGCACUUAAAAUACACACAUGAUUUUUGUAAAAUAAAAGUAUUCUUAUUUUACAAAUGUAGGUUUUGAAACUGCAAAGUUAACUUACCAACUUUAGGGCACUUUGUAAACCUGAUGUAGAGAUCUCAGUUCUUAGGUUAGUGUACAUUUAUGUUAAGUAAGACCUUUUAACCAGGGAUCCCCAACCCAAAGGACAGACUGGUUUCUGUUUGUGGCCUAUUAGGAACUGGGCCACACAGCAGGAGGUGAGUGGCGGG